CCCUUAGAUGUUCUGGGCUGCACACGUGCUACACUGGCAGGUUCAGCGAGCUUCAUGCCCUGAUCUGAAAGGAAUGGGAAAUCUUUUCAAAACCUGCCGUGCUUGGGAUAGAUGUUUGCAAUUAUUCAUCUUCAACGAGGAUUGCCUUGUAAGCGCACGUCAUCAGCGUGCAUUGAAUACGACCCUGUAUUCUGUACACACCGCCCGUCGCUCCUACCGAUUGAAGUUUUCGGUGAGUUGACAGGAGGAUUUUUUUGAAACUGGUUCGCCAGUGGGUUUUAGAUCCAAAUGCCAACGAAUCGAUGGCUUUAGAGGAAGGAGAAGUCGUAACA
rnacentral:rRNA from 1 species